rnacentral:rRNA from 1 species
AUACGGAGGAUGCGAGCGUUAUCCGGAUUUAUUGGGUUUAAAGGGAGCGUAGAUGGGAGCUUAAGCCAGUUGUGAAAAGCGCGGGCCCGACCCGCGUCGUGCAAUUGGAACUGUGUUCCUUGAGUGGGUUCGGGGCAGGUGGAAUUCGUGGUGUAGCGGUGCAAUGCUUAGAUAUCACGAAGAACUCCGACAGCGUAGGCAUCCUGCCAGGCCCUUACUGACAUUGAAGCUCGAAGGUGCGGGUAUCAAACAGGAUUAGAUACCCUGGUAGUCCGCACGGUAAACGAUGGAUGCCCGCUGUCGGCGACAGACAGUCGGCGGCCAAGCGAAAGCGUUAAGCAUCCCACCUGGGGAGUACGCCGGCAACGGUGAAACUCAAAUGAAUUGGCGGGG